AAUAUAAAAGUAUCAAGUAUACAUAACACAUAUCUUAGAAAAAUAGAGAUUCCAAAUAUAAUAAAAUACAAUAUACAUAUGAGACAUGUAGAAGAAUCUAAUUAAUAAAUAAUAAUAUAAAAUAAACAUCAAAAUUAUAAAGUGCUUAAGUAGGUACCUAUACCAAAACCUAACUAGUUUAUUUGAGUAUUAAUUUUUUUUUUCUGGAAUUCAUAGCGCGAUGUUUUAUAAUUGGCUGGAUGAACAAAACUCGCCCGAAGGUUGAAUAAUGAAUAAAAAUCGUAAUACUGGGGAGUUUACAAAAACAUUUUAGUAUUAAAGUGUAACUGAUCUAGUAAAGAUCAAAGUUUCUGAUCGUUUUUUUUUUUCAAACUAAAAAUGAAUUUUAAAAUAUUAGCUGAAUUAAAAAAUGUUUAUCUUUAUUUAAUAUUAUGUAUGUUUAAUAUUGUUGCAUUUUAUACGUGUGAAUCAAAAUUGAUAUACAAUUGUCAAAAUGGAUUUUCAAAAUUUGGAAGUAACUGUUAUCAUUUAAGUAAAGAAACAGCAACAUGGCAAGAAGCUUUUUUUGAAUGCAAAUAUUUGGCAAAAGGAAGUAAACUCGUUGUGCUGGCCAAACAAGUGGAUGAUCAUAAUAUUCGAAAAUUUUUAAAAUAUAAAAAAAAUGGUAAAUUUCUUAAUUUGUUGAAUAGUUAAUACUUAAUACUGUAGAGUGUAGGCAAUACAAAUAAAUUAUUUAUAAAGAUAUUUCGAAAGUUUUAAAUACUAAAAAUACCUAGGUAAGCAAUCUUCAUAAACCAUAAGUUUAUAUCUACCUAGUACAUUAUUAUCUAUGACCUAAUCACUAUGUCAACAAAAUGGUCUUUACUCUAUACCAGGACUCGCAUUUGAAAAAACAUUCCGUUUUAUGUUAUUUAAAAUUAAAACGUUACACAAUUUUUGAGUUUAUCGUUGUUUAGAACGAAAAUGUUGUACUAGUUUUGUGUUUAUCGUUAUUCAGAAUUAAAACGUUAUUCAAGUUUUGCGUUUAUCAUCGUUAUUUAGAAUAGUGUUAAUGUUAAUGCGGUUAGGUAAUUGCCCGGAUACGGAACAUAAUAUUAUAAUUAUAAUUAUAUUAUAAUCAAUUAUAAUGACCGUAUGCAUGAAAUAAAUAUUUCUACUUAACCAA